rnacentral:lncRNA from 1 species
CUGUGGGGCUCUCUCUCUUGGGGAGAGAGAAAUGAAAAUACUCUUGUUAAUGCAGUGUCUCCAAUAAAUAAAUCACAUAUUUAGCUCAGUGUUUGCCCCAGGAGCCCGGUGAUCAGCUAUAGCUUCUCACACUACUUUGAAGCUAGCUCAUGGCAGAGUGGUGGCAGAAGCGCCAGAAUCGCUAACCCGCUUAUUUAUAAUCCCGAGGGUGCUUGUUUUAUCUCCGAAGUCCAUCGAGACUUUGGCUGCGGGCCAAUUUGAGUGACCGACAAACAGGCUGCAAGGUUGCAGUGUUAAUGGGGCGAGCUCGGAGAGGACCGAUUGCAGGCCCUGGGCGGAACCUGCCUUGCCCAGGAGGGCCGGGAUUACCUAGCAGAGAGGCGAGGUGGCAGGGGUCUGCACCACAGCCGGGCUGCUCCUUAUCUAGGCGAUCACCGAGUGGGACGGCUUUGUGCACGGCUUUAAAUCAGCUUUCUUCUCCAUGCCCCCUCCCUCACACACAACAAAAGUCUAAUCCCCUUUCAAGUCAGAUUGCCCCAUCUCUCUGCGUGGGCCAGGCAGACUGGAAACACGUUUGUCAUUUAGCUCUUCCCCGGGCUAAUCAGGGACACGGGGUGCUGGGAUUUCUGCGUUUCAUCUGCGGAGCCUCUCUGAACGCAGCGGCGCCGAGGCCUCUGGGCUCGCCCGAGAGCUGCUGUCAUCCCUGCAGACAGAUGGAAAAAUAUUGUUAACAAGAGCCGGAGCACGGGGUUUAAAGAGGAUUUGAAUGGAGAACGCGAUCUCCACGUAGCCCGACGUGAUCCGGUCCAGCAGAGCCGAACCCCUUCCUUGGUUCCCACAAAGUGCGUCACGCAAUGGAGGGGAUUGUGAUGGGAUUUCCGACGUCUCGGUUUCAGGCCUGCUGCUGAGAGCUAGAGCCGGAAUGAGCGUCGCCUGGGCCGGCCUGGCUUCCCACCAAGGCCUCGACUCGCGGGCAGCUUCGGGUGCUCCGGGGCGGUGGCCAGGCAGGUGUGACAGGGCUGCCCAGGGGCUCCCGCAGGCUCAGAAGGGAAGCUUGCAUGAGCUUCAGGGCUUGAAGAUGCCGGAAAACAAUCCUUGGUGGGGUUGCAACAGUGCUUUCCCUCCCGAACGAUGGCGAGCAGUACGGGGCCGGUGCCCGCGAAGCACCCCACGCAGCCCACAGCAAGCGCGUGAUGCGCACCCUUGGCGCCCACUGUGCCUGUGCGUUGUAAGCUCGGGACCUUACGUCCGGGUAUCCGGAGCGCCUGUGUUUCAGGCAACACAAAGUCAAGAAAGCGAUGUACAGAGCACUCGAAUGCUCCACAGAGCUUUGACAAGUUGUGAUCUUUUACCAGGGCUACCUCAAUAAACCAUUAGAGAUUUGUUUGACCUACCGGGUCACCCCCUAGCCUGGAGCUCAUUCAUCUGCCUUCCUGCCUCUGCGCUAAGAUGACGGCUCUCCUGGAUUCGAGCUUCAGUUCCGUGAGGAUCGUUCUCUAAAAACACUCAUAUUGCUGCAGCAAUAGCGAGC